rnacentral:rRNA from 1 species
UGAUGGUCAGCCACACUGGGACUGAGACACUGCCCAGACUCCUACGGGAGGCUGCAGUCGAGGAUCAUUUACAAUGCGCGAAAGCGUGAUAAUGCGACGCUGCGUGGAGGAUGACGGCCCUAGGGUUGUAAACUCCUGUCAUUCGGGAAAAAUAGCAGAAAGGUUAAUAGCCUCUCUGUGUGAUGGUACCGAAAGAGGAAGCCACGGCUAACUCUGUGCCAGCAGCCGCGGUAAUACAGAGGUGGCAAGCGUUGUUCGGAUUUACUGGGCGUAAAGCGUGCGUAGGUGGUAUCGUGUGUCGGGCGUGAAAGCCCACGGCUCAACCGUGGAACUGCGUUCGAAACUGCGGAACUAGAGUGCAGGAGGGGAGAGUGGAAUUCUUGGUGUAGCGGUGAAAUGCGUUGAUAUCAAGAAGAACACCGGUGGCGAAGACGGCUCUCUGGAAUGUUACUGACACUGAGGCACGAAAGCUGGGGGAGCGAACAGGAUUAGAUACCCUGGUAGUCCCAGCCGUAAACGGUGCGCACUUGGUGUGGGAGGUAUUGACCCCUUCCGUGCCGGAGCUAACGCGUUAAGUGCGCCGCCUGGGGAGUACGGCCGCAAGGUUAAAACUCAAAGAAAUUGACGGGGGCCCGCACAAGCGGAGGAGCAUGUGGCUUAAUUCGAUGCAACGCGAAGAACCUUACCAGGGCUUGACAUGUAACUGCACGCUCCCCGAAAGGGGAGAAGCCUUCGAGGGUGUUACACAGGUGCUGCAUGGCUGUCGUCAGUUCGUGCCGUGAGGUGUUGGGUUAAGUCCCGCAACGAACGCAACCCUUGUGUUUAGUUGCCACCGCCGGUGAUGAGCCGGCGAGCACUCUAGACAGACUGCCCGUACAAGCGGGAGGAAGGUGGGGACGACGUCAAGUCAGUAUGGCCCUUACGCCCUGGGCUGCACACGUGCUACAAUGGUCGGUACAGAGGGACGCAAGACCGCGAGGUGGAGCAAAUCCCCAAAACCGGCCCCAGUUCGGAUUGGAGUCUGCAACUCGACUCCAUGAAGUCGGAUUCGCUAGUAACGGCGUAUCAGCUACGGCGCCGUGAAUACGUUCCCGGGCCUUGUACACACCGCCCGUCACAUCAUGAAAGCCGUCUGCACCCGUAGUCACUGAGCUAACCCGCAAGGGAAGCAGGUGCCGAAGGUGUGGGUGGUAAUUGGGAUGAAGUCGUAACAAGGUA